CAGAGCGAGACUCUGUCUCAAAAAAAGAAAAAAAAAAAAAAUAGAGCCAACGAAGAGAGGCCUGGACCACAUCCUUCCUUUCCUUGCACCUUCAGAGGGAACGUGUUCCUGUGGACACCUUGAUUUUGGACUUCUUGCCUUCAGAACUAUGAGACAAUACAUCUCUGCUGCUCUAAGCCACCCAGUUUGUGACACUUUGUUGUCACAGUUCUAGCAAACUAAUACAGCAACAGUCUCCCCUUACAUUGUUUGAGGUGAUGACAACACAGUAUCAUUAGAACGCCUGCCCCCCCUAGCAUCCUGCUCUUUGAAGAAUCACCUGACUGUCCACUGCUGCUUGUCUGCUCAGCAGCCCAAGGAAGAUGGCAAGGCAUGCUGCACACAGAGUACACCCUCAGGCAUCCUGUGGGGACACUGGUGAGUGUCACAUCCCACAAGGAAGGGUUAGUUUCUAGACCCAGUCAUUGGAGGUUAUUGGCAGCAGCAGAAGGGCCUAUGAGCUUGCUGUCAGCAGAGUAAGAGUCCCCUGGUCAUAAAAAGAGCAACUUUCUGUUUACCUCACAGCUACAAGGGACAUAGGAAGGGGGAGACUGCCAUACCUGCGUUAUGUAAAAUUGACACUGGCCUUCAGAGCACCUUGCCCUAAAAUGACUUCAGCUGGGUUUAUAAAGCCGAGGACUGGGCUGGAGGUUAUGAAUCUGCAUGUGCUUUUAGUCACUUACGAGGGAGUAAUUUUUGAAGGGUAGGAGCAGUCAUAGGGUGCAGGGAAAGGCAACUCAGAGAGAAACAUUCAGGGACAUCUAGAAAGAAGAUGAUGAAGGUGCAAACGUCAUGACAGUCUUACCCCUGGACUCAUCUCAGGAAGGGGCAGUUGGAUGAGUCAGAGAAAGUGGUGCAGGUGAACCCGACUCUGGAGCCUGCAGGCUCCGCAGCAGCAGGGAUCCUGUCCUUGAACAGCUGGGAUUGCCGGGUCCACUGCUGGAGGUCGGACCUGGAUGCCUAGGCAGGCGGGGGAACCGGACUACAGCGGAGAGCUGUUGUCUUAUCAUCUGCCGGCGCCCGCCACUCCCACCACCAGCCACCCACCUCUGAGGGCCAGUGCAGGACUCCUUCCUCUGGGCACUCCAUGCGAUGCCGGUGGGCCGUGGAUCACAGUGGCCGGCCUUCCCCCUCUCCAAUGCCGAGGCGGGCCUGAGACCCACGCCCAGCCAACCAGAGUCUUCCCUGGGAGUUGCGUCUUCCAAACCGGAAGUCCUCUCCCUGCUUAGGACGGCCACACUGACCUGAAGUGACCUGUAAGUGACCUUACAGCUGCCUGUACCCAGGUCGAACCUGGCCCAGCAACAAAGUCUGGCUCACUGAGGGAACUGAGAAUCCUGACGACAACGUAAGAGUCACUCGAUUCGGCCCUGCCCCGCUUGGACACGUGUCUGAGACCUGAGGAGAGAGACGGUUGUGAGUGAAAACUGAAUUAUAUCACUAAAAUAUCUACAAACCUUUAGGCAAGGAGAGUGUACUGAAGAGGAGAGAAGUGUCUUCCCUCCACGUCAUCACAGAGCGGCCGCGCUUCGGUCGUGUGAGCUCUGCAGAGGCAACGGGGAAAGCGGGAGCAGAGCCCGCUGGGAGGCGCGGGGCGUGGCCGGGACACUGACCCCUAGCGGCAGCAGUGGCGCCUAGCAGGAGACAGUGGUAUCCUGAACCGCGCGGGCGGCAAUGAAUGUUGGGAACAGCUGCAAGGAGGGGAAGGUUGCAAAGGUGUGAGUCAGGAAGGCAGGAGAACACGUCAGGAAAGGGAUAGACCCAGAGAAGUUAAGGGACUCUGUCAACCUCACACAGCUGAUUGGUGACAAAACUAGACCUGGCCCUUGGGAUCCAGCGCAGAGCUCCUCCUGCCACUCUGAGGGAC